rnacentral:rRNA from 1 species
ACGGAGGCAGCAGUGGGGAAUAUUGCACAAUGGGGGAAACCCUGAUGCAGCGACGCCGCGUGAGUGAAGAAGUAUUUCGGUAUGUAAAGCUCUAUCAGCAAGGAAGAAAAUGACGGUACUUGACUAAGAAGCCCCGGCUAACUACGUGCCAGCAGCCGCGGUAAUACGUAGGGGGCAAGCGUUAUCCGGAUUUACUGGGUGUAAAGGGAGCGUAGACGGUAUGGCAAGUCUGAAGUGAAAUGCAUGGGCUCAACCCAUGAACUGCUUUGGAAACUGUCAAACUAGAGUGCAGGAGAGGUAAGUGGAAUUCCUAGUGUAGCGGUGAAAUGCGUAGAUAUUAGGAGGAACACCAGUGGCGAAGGCGGCUUACUGGACUGUAACUGACGUUGAGGCUCGAAAGCGUGGGGAGCAAACAGGAUUAGAUACCCUGGUA